rnacentral:rRNA from 1 species
AAAAUUCAUAAUUAGUCUGCGAUAUACA